UACGGGGGGGGCAAGCGUUGUUCGGAAUUACUGGGCGUAAAGGGCUCGUAGGCGGCCAACUAAGUCAGACGUGAAAUCCCUCGGCUUAACCGGGGAACUGCGUCUGAUACUGGAUGGCUUGAGUUUGGGAGAGGGAUGCGGAAUUCCUGGUGUAGCGGUGAAAUGCGCAGAUAUCAGGAGGAACACCGGUGGCGAAGGCGGCGUUCUGGACUGUCUCUGACACUGAAGAACGAAAGCCAGGGGAGCAAACGGG
rnacentral:rRNA from 1 species